UUACUUUGGUUUCUUUUCAGAUCAUAUACAUCUUUAUCCUUUUACUAAGCAUUUCUUUGUAGAGGAACAGUCAUGAGUCUUGAACCAAAUUUGUGUGGGUGUAGGUGCACGCC
rfam:Alligator mississippiensis ScZkoYb_238, whole genome shotgun sequence.